AUUGAACGCUGGCGGAAUGCUUUACACAUGCAAGUCGAACGGCAGCACGGGGGCAGCCCUGGUGGCGAGUGGCGAACGGGUGAGUAAUACAUCGGAACGUGCCCGGUCGUGGGGGAUAACGUAGCGAAAGUUACGCUAAUACCGCAUACGAUCUGAGGAUGAAAGCGGGGGACCUUCGGGCCUCGCGCGAUCGGAGCGGCCGAUGUCAGAUUAGGUAGUUGGUGGGGUAAAGGCCUACCAAGCCGACGAUCUGUAGCUGGUCUGAAUGGACGACCAGCCACCCUGGAACUGAAACACGGCCCAGACUCCUACGGGAGGCAGCAGUGGGGAAUUUUGGACAAUGGGCGCAAGCCUGAUCCAGCCAUUCCGCGUGCAGGACGAAGGACUUCGGGUUGUAAACUGCUUUUGUACGGAACGAAAAGGCUCUGGCUAAUACCUGGGGCUCAUGACGGUACCGUAAGAAUAAGCACCGGCUAACUACGUG
rnacentral:rRNA from 1 species